rnacentral:rRNA from 1 species
UACGUAGGGUGCGAGCGUUGUCCGGAAUUAUUGGGCGUAAAGAGCUCGUAGGCGGCUUGUCGCGUCGGAUGUGAAAGCCCGGGGCUUAACUCCGGGUCUGCAUUCGAUACGGGCAGGCUAGAGUUCGGUAGGGGAGAUCGGAAUUCCUGGUGUAGCGGUGGAAUGCGCAGAUAUCGGGAGGAACACCGGUGGCGAAGGCGGUUCUCUGGGCCUGUACUGACGCUGAGGAGCGAAAGCGUGGGGAGCGAACAGG